UACGUAGGGCGCAAGCGUUGUCCGGAAUUAUUGGGCGUAAAGAGCUCGUAGGCGGCUUGUCACGUCGGAUGUGAAAGCCCGGGGCUUAACCCCGGGUCUGCAUUCGAUACGGGCAGGCUAGAGUUCGGUAGGGGAGAUCGGAAUUCCUGGUGUAGCGGUGAAAUGCGCAGAUAUCAGGAGGAACACCGGUGGCGAAGGCGGAUCUCUGGGCCGAUACUGACGCUGAGGAGCGAAAGCGUGGGGAGCGAACAGG
rnacentral:rRNA from 2 species